GAUGAAGAACGUAUCGAAAUGCGAUAAAUAAUGUGAAUUGCAGAAUUCAGUGAAUCAUCGAGUCUUUGAACGCACAUUGCGCCCCCUGGUAUUCCGGGGGGCAUGCCUGUCCGAGCGUCAUUGCUGCCCUCAAGCACGGCUUGUGUGUUGGGCCCCCGUCCCCCCCUCCCGGGGGACGGGCCCGAAAGGCAGCGGCGGCACCGCGUCCGGUCCUCGAGCGUAUGGGGCUUUGUCACCCGCUCUGUAGGCCCGGCCGGCGCCUGCCGACCACCAUCAAUCUUUUUUCAGGUUGACCUCGGAUCAGGUAGGGAUACCCGCUGAACUUAAGCAUAUCAAUAAGCGGAGGA
rnacentral:misc_RNA from 1 species